rnacentral:lncRNA from 1 species
UCAAGAGGAAUUGAUGUUGUGCCUUAUUGGAAAGCCAUGCUCUCAAACUUUGUAACACGUAAUGUGGCUUUGGGAGGAGAGCUCAUCUGCACAGACUUCACACUGGGUCUGCCUCAGCAACGCGUAUGAUUCUUAUAAGACAUCUGCUUAUAAGACAGUCUGCUUGUGACGCUGCAAUUAUCUGUAAACACAGAGGUGGACAUAAAAGUGCCACUUUUGAAUCUAACAGGAUGUGGCCCACGCUACAGAGGGAGUUAAUGACGUCGGCAUCUAAAUGAAAAACUCAGGAAUAUCCUACUUUUUUCUGCUUCACCAAGUUGCAGGCUCUUUGUACAGAACGCUUUUCAAACGCCUUUGGCCAUUAAGGAGGGAGGAUUUUUUGCAUAAGGAAGAACACCUGCACCAGUCACAGAGGCAUCCUUCUGUCAGAUACAUCCACCUGCACCAGUCACAGGAGGUGUCCUUUUCUGAGAGACAUCCACCUGCACCAGUCACAGAGGCAUCCUUCUGUCAGAGACAUCCACCUGCACCAGAAGGGGUGACAACAGAGGAGCAACUCCAGAGCUGUCUGACAGGCUCUUUGUACAGAACGCUUUUCAAACGCCUUUGGCCAUUAAGGAGGGAGGAUUUUUUGCAUAAGGAAGAACACCUGCACCAGUCACAGAGGCAUCCUUCUGUCAGAUACAUCCACCUGCUCCAGUCACAGAGGCAUCCUUCUGUCAGAGACAUCCACCUGCACCAGAAGGGG